AGUCAGGAAAGAUGGCGGGGCGCAUUGGAGUUGUUUGUUGUGUUUGUUAUGCGUGCUCGCGAAGUCGUCGUCCCAUGCGUACUCUCUGCUGGUUUCAAGUGGGAGACUGUACUGUUCAACAGGAACGCACAGUGACAGCUCUUCAAAUGCGUCUGCGAUGUGUCUGCGGUGAAUUCGGCGAAAAAGCGGUGACCGAGUCGGGUGGGAGUGGUUGACCCUCUAUAGGGCCCCCCUCGACGAUGAACCCCCCUCCGCUAUGUGGCAUCAAAUUGGGGACGCUCGGUUUGACGUGACCUGUUCCUGCCCUGUCGGGCGUACUGUUUUUGACGUUCGUCCGCACCGCCUUGUCGAGCGAUCACUGUGACCGCAGUGCGACCCACAGGAACUUUCGCUUUUGAGGGGCUCUUGGACAGUGGACGUUUUAGGCAGAGGGGGCAACGCAAUCCGUGAGAGGAACCCGAUAUCUUUCCUGCUUUCCUGCCGCGACGUUGUCGCUUGUUCAUGUUCUCCGGCUGCCAUUAGAGUAAUCUGGCGUCGCGUACUUGCGCAACAACCAGUUGAAUGCCCGCACUUUAGUGAACUCGAAGUAGCUACGCGAGACUUCCGACACUUCGUCUACUCAAUCGCGAGAUGCGGUACUGCCUGCACAGUAAGGAUGGAUGGAGAGCAAUUGUGUGCCUUUCAAGAUGUGGAUGGAAGCAGAGCAUUAUUCACACUUUUAUACAAGAAAGAAAAUGGAUGAUGACCUGAUACACGAAAGUGCAAACAAAAAAAAAAAAAGAAAGAAAAUUACUUCGUUCAUUUCAUGUUGACUGUGUGGGCAGGUGUGGAAACUUGUGCUCUGUAUUUAUUGUUCUACGUCAAGUGUGAAAACUGAAGCACCAAAGCUUAACUCAUUUCAGCUGUUGCCACUUCUUUGAACAGUGUGCCUGACCCUUGAUUGUUUUGUUUGACUCCAUCAUUUCCAAGAGCACCUAUUCCAUGUGACUUUGCUUUUUGCAAUGCACGAGUGAGCCUCAUGCGCAAUAAAUACAGCCGCAAUGUAAGGAAAUCUGGACAAUGUUAUUUAGAUUAAAAGUUAAGAAUAGCCGAGAUAUGUUCCUACAGGCACAUCACAGAAUAUCAUUAAGUGGUAUACAAAAAAAAAAAAGAAGGGAAGUGAAUAGCUGUUUUUAUUUUUUUCAAACAUAGCAGAAGUGUGCAGUUUUUAUGCAGUUAACAUAUCUAGAGAGAAGGAAGCACCAUGCUAUGGCCAAAGGUGGAAGACGAAUCUCUACUUGGCGUUCAUGUGUAGUAAUUCAAUAACGAAGCUGUUGUGUAUUCUUUGAUUUAAUUGGGGCACCUCACAUUUACAGUGUGUGGACCAUUUGUGUGGUAGCGCUUAACUCAAGUGUUGUAACACCUACUGAAAGAUGUAUGUGCACCCUUUUAAUGAGGGUGCUUCACCAAAUUGCCAGAAAUACUGCCGAAUAGUUGUAUGUUUGAAUGCGUUAAAUUCAGCCCAUAUUUCCUGGAGCAUUUGGGAGGAUUACUGAUUAAGCUGCCACCUAACACAGCCAAAAGGGAUCAGUUAUCUGGAUUUAUUGUAAUGUGCUUGCAGACAAAGCUUUUUAACAAGGGAUUGGAACUCGCAUAUACUUAGGUACCAAAAUUCUAAAAAUAUAAAUGUACUUUUGAAUGCAAAAACUCAUUUUGCUCCACUGUUAUUUUCACAUACAGUAUUUUAUUUUUUUGUUUCUUGUGCUAAUACCUGUGAAAGAAAGCCACACACAAGGCCAUUAAAACACUGUUUUGGAAUUGUGUUACGAAAGUUUACAUUUGAUGCACAUUGUGCUCAUAAAUGUAUGAGACAUGCACUUCACAAAGUGAGCAUCUGUCAUGCCAGUAGGUGUUUUUCCCCCUUAAUGGCCUAAAAGUAGUGGGUGCGACAUUGAUGCUUGGCUGUGUUUCUUCUGCUUUGAUUUUUUUCAAUUUAUCACGAAGUUUACACCUUUUACAGCUGCAACUUUGUUAUAUUCUUUUCUUUUUUUUGUUUGUUCACCUGUACUGAGCACUCUGGUUCUUGUGAGACAUGAUGACUGGCCUGUUUCUUUUUCCAGUAACUGUAGACUUGUCAUACUUAGCCAUCACAGCUUAGAAAAAAUCUUGGGACCACUACUGCAACUCAGGAAUGCAACCCGCUUCAGGAUGUCUGGACUUAGAUGCAACAGUUGUUAACCAAAAACGUUAAUGGUAAAUCAGCGUGUGGUGCACCAGUGGUGGCAAUAAAAAACAGUGCAGUCAGGAUGCUGGCUCCCAUGUUAAUAAGCCUAGUUUAUCAGCUACGACAUGUUUCUGCAGCAAAGUCCGUACUUCCUCAGCGAAACAUUAAAUUGACACCUUUAUACGAUACAUGCAGAUGCGGAAACGUUUCAGUACUCUCAUUUGGCUUCAGUGCACUAAAUGUUGGUAUCUGGUACGGCCUUUGCUUACUUGUGUUCAUUAUAUAUGUGUCGAUACAUUCCAGUUCAUUACAUUUUGCAGGCUGUUACAUGGCAUUUACGCUCGCCUAGCACAAAAUUGAUAGAUUUUCAUUUAAUAUAUUUGCACUUGACAGUGUCAAUCCUUGAUGUUUCCGCAUCUGCAUGUAACGUAUAAAGGUGUCAAUUUAAUGUUUCACUGAGGAAGUACGGACUUUGCUGCAGAAACAUGUCGUAGCUGAUAAACUAGGCUUAUUAACAUGGGGGCCAGCAUCCUGACUGCACUGUUUUUUUAUUGCCACCACUGGUGCACCACACGCUGAUUUACCAUUUACGUUUUUGGUUAACAACUGUUGCAUCUAAGUCCAGACAUCCUGAAGCGGGUUGCAUUCUCGAGUUGCAGUAGUGGUCCCAAGAUUUUUUCUAAGCUGUGAUGGUCAAGUAUGACAAAGCUGACCUUUGUCAAGUCUACAUUUAUUUUGGCAAUUUCCUGGCUCCUACAUUUAUCCAGCUCUCCUUACUGUCUUCUUUCCUUUCUUCAUCUUACUUCUUUUCCUUCUUCACAAUCUUGCAGUGAAUGUUAUAGUGGUGUUCUUCUGUGCAUAUUGUACGCUUAUAUUUUCCUCCAGAAUUAAUGUGAAUAUAUGAUAAGAUUGCAACAUGGUUUCUGCAUUUGCCAAACUAGGCAUCGACUUGGAUUUUCCUUUUUUUUUUUUUUUAAACUUGCAACAUUGCACUUAAGACGGAAUAGAAACAAAGGGGGCACAUACACAAAGCUUCUAUCUCGUCAUGAGCAUGCUGUUGUAAGUUUGAAAAUUACUUGCCAGCUUAUCUAAAUUCAUACACUGUUAAAUACAAACUUGCAAUACACAGUUUAAGGAAAUUGUGCACUCUAGCUUAAGUGGUACCCGAACAAUAAUUGGCAUCUAUAUUGCAUGCAUUUCCUUUCUUUAACGCUGUGUUCCCGGUACUUUCAGGUCGCAAAUGGCAUGUGCAGAUUACCAUGGCAUAGCAUUCUCGAAAGGGAAGUAGUGAGCCCAGUGCGUUAAAUAGAGGAAGUAUACACAAGAUUUAUGAUGUUUACUGUUUGAGUUCAAGAUAAUCUUCGAAGGGUGUAAACAAUUUUUAGGGUGCACUCGUAUUGUUAUCAAUGUUGUUGCUUAUUCUCUUGCUGUGCAAGUAGCUGUAAUGAAAGUGUUUGUAGCUCACUUGUGAUGUAAUAUGAGUUGCUGCAUUAUUGCAGCAUUCUUGGGGUUUCUCAGAAUCCUAGAAGAAAUUGUUUAGGGCAAAGAAACAAAAUUCCUGCUAACAGAACCCAGUUUCAGCCUCAAUUAAGCAUUUGUAAUGCAAGACCAAGCCAUGCACAUUUCUCUGGAGAGCUACAACAGGCCACCAGUUACAAAACACUUUGUUCUUUUUACUUCAAAAACAGUGAAACCUUCAGCACUGUCUUCUACGAGUGUCUCUUUUAAAACUUUCUGGCUCUCCCUAACACAAUUAGGGACAAGGUUUAGGGAUGAAACCACUUGAGAGUGUUGUUAAAGGUUAACUAAAACUUCUUGCUGUCAUGAUUAGCCAGCGCUUUUGUUUCACUGGGUUAAAAGUUUCUUUGUGAUAGAGAAAGCUUGUAUUUUUGGCACCACAUUUGUUCUGAAAGUGUGGGUUUGGUGCAUUGGUCUCAUUGAGAUGGUUUACUGUGCAUUUGUUUAUCAUGUACAGGCUUUGUGACAAGUCAUUAACAGCACACAAGCACAAUGCUUGUACAUUCUUAAGCAGUUUCGUAAAGAGAUAGUAGCAGCAAUGUAAAAGUGUGCACAGUCAACGAGUCCUGUUUGUAGUAGGCCAUGCACAAAAUUUUACGGUAGACCGAAUGUUGUCAUAAGAGUGUUAUCAUAAAAUGGUGCUGCAAAUUUUGAAGACCACACACACUUGUGUGCUAUCUGCACAGUUAUCUGCACUUCAUUUAUCUGCAUUUCUGUCUGUGUUCCAAGCACUCAGAAUCAGUAUCGUAGGCAGUUUCCUGCAUCGCCAUCUUUUCAGGCUUAAAAUAGAUAUUUCAAUGCUGUUAACCUCAAGAAUACAUUAUAUUCACCUAACUUAAUCUGUCAACUUCCUGUUAAUGUAUCGUGUUCAUAAAUUCAAAGGAUUAUUAAUGCAGUGAUUUGCACAUUUGUGCUGAUUUGAAGGUAAUCAUAUUAUUUUUUAUUAUUUUAUGAAAGUGAAGAUACAUAAUGUUGGUUUGUGUUCAUGCUUUGACUGGUAAACAGUACCAGAGGACUCCCAAGUUCUUAACAAGCACAGUGCUGCUUAGCUUUGGUAGUUUGAUGAAACCCGCCACAUUUAAUAGCUCACUGAUACAACACACACACAUCGAUUCAGUGCACACGUUGUGUUUACCUGUCCUUCUUCUUCAUUCUGUGGCACUGUUUACCAGUUGGGGUUAUAAAAUCUGAAAGCACCACAAAAAAAAAAAAAAUGCUUUCAUGUUCGUAAAUAUUAAUUGGAUCUGAUUUUGUCAUGAUGAAAGUGCUUGUCUAAUGACUUCUUUUGUGUCGCUCGUAACUGUUCAUCAGAGGCUCAUAUAUCAGCAAUCUAUAUAUAUAUAUAUAUUAUAUAUAUAUAUUGUUUUCGUUGUUGCUGAAGUUCAAUAUUAUUGCAAUAGCAUACAGAGUAUAGAAACAUAUAGAGGACCUGAGGUGUUUUCUAAGAUCUAAGAAGGUGUAUACUAUCCUGUGUACUUAAAAAAGGUGUAAACAUAAGUGGUAUUGGUUGCAUUCUUGUUGAAUGCAAAAGUUUUUUCCUGUUAGAUUGUAGUUUUAUAUACUCUAUAGAAGCUUUGGGAUUUGAACCUUGUGUGGAGUACUUGUAGUAUAUACCACAUUCGAGGGGUUUCUUCUGGUUUACUUGUGGAGCUGUGAUUUGUGUUAAUGCAAUUUGAAUGUGCAAGCAAAUUACUCAUUUGAGAUUGUUUUGUAGUAGUUCUGGUAGCUGUGUAUUGUGUAUUCAGCUGUGUUGUUCAUUACCAGUGUGCAUGAUGCCUGCUUGCACUCUUUAGUCUAGUGUGAUGCUGUGUCACAUUUCUUCAGGCUUUCUUACUGUACUGCUCAUGUCAUGUUACUUUCCAACUUUUAACUAAAUUUCUUAGGGCUGUAGCUAUCAUAACCCGAAAAAGAAACAAUAUGCUUUCAGGGGCAGACGAAUGAAACUCUGACCUUGGUCACUUAAAUGGGAUGCUUACAUGCAAACGUCAGCAUGCAAUAUCGCAGUGGAAUGCACUUGCAUUUAGCUCCUUAUGUUGCAGAGCAAGCAACCUCAUUGCUAAGCAUGUAGCACUUGUCACUAUAAUUGGAGCCUUGCGCAGAUAACAGGUGUCUUUUGACAUAUUGAUACCAACAAGAAGUACUGCUUAAUGGAAUCGUUAACUUCACAAAAGUAAUUGAACUAGUGUUUUACUUUGGCUACACCAAAAGUCUGCCAUUAAAUGUCAAAUGUUGACUUCUCUUUUGUUCUUUUUUUUUUUGCUUUUCUUUUGGAACCAGCCCUGUCGGCACAAGGCUUUCCCAUCGCACCCUGCCUCCUGCGUGCCAGCAACAGCAAUGCAGGGCGUCCAUCAACGUCUUCGCGGACCUUCACUUCAACCGUCGCAGUAGACAUGCCGAAGAAGUUCCAGUGCCGACAGUGCCACUACUCGACCAACAUCAUGACCAACCUGCGACACCACGUGCGCGUGCAUUCGGGAGAGCGCCCGUUCAAGUGCUCAGACUGUGGCAAGGGCUUCAUCCAGAAAAUCCAGAUGAUCAAGCACAACUGCACCGCCCGGAUGCGUGACGUCAUCGUGCCCACAUCCGCGGUGUCGCCAACGGGGCUUCCGCCUUCGUCGCCGGGACCACCGGCAAACUCGCUCUUCAGUUGCUCUAAGUGUGGAGAGGCGUUCCUCCGCGAAGCACUUCUCUUGCAGCAUGUAUUGCUCAUGCACAUGACACAGUAAGCCAGCUGCCACCUUUUGACAUAGUUCAGCUGACCACGAAGUAGUUUUUGCCGAGCUGGUUUGUCACUAUGUCAGUAGAAAAGCGCUGAAACAGAACAAAGAAUGAUGAUAACAAAGGUGCCGACUAGCAACUGGUCAGCUACAUUGUGCAGUGCAAAGCUGAAUGUGCAAGCACCAAAUUAAUCUAGUCCCACACUGACGUGCCUCAUAAUCAGAUCGUGGUUUUGGCACAUAAUACCCCAGAAUUUAAAUAAUUGAGCUUUUGAGCCAUAGUUUAGCAUCUACGCUAUGAUGUGUGCAUCAGCUUGAAGUGACCAAAAAGUUUGUAGCCAGCGCAACAUUGUCUGCUCAGGCCACCUUUGUUUGAAGCAUGGCUCAGGCUGUAUUACCUUCGUGUCAGACAGUCAGGCUGUGUGCAAACCCUCUAAUCAGAUGGGCCAUAACACACCGAUCAUUCAUAUGUUGCUGCAGGCAGUCGUCUCCUGCAACUCAUACUGCACAAGGAUGCUACUGCACACAUAUUUCAUGUGCUAACACUGUCCCUGCUUUGCACUUUGGGUGACACUGCAAUUGUGAGUCGGCAUCUAUGUCAUCAUCAUUCUUUGUCCCCUUUUUGUGCUUGUUUGGUGAUCACAUUUAGUACUCAGCUGGCAAGCAUAUGUACUGUAGCCAUGUCACCUUCUGUGACAGUGUGCACAUUUCAAUCAAACACUUGAUAUGCUGGCUUUCAUGACACAUUGUUGCUUUAUUACAGGAAAGCGUGCUUUGAUAAAGCUUGUUCGCUUUGAGAUUGUUAGGUCUAGUGGAUCUUUGCCUCAUAGUGACUAUUCAUUCAUGUACACUGUUCUGUAAACAAUGGCUCCAGGUACAGUUGCACACUGAGGUGAUCACUAUCUCAAGAUACGUUCAUGAUUGGUCUGGCUUGCAACAAUUGGAAGUGCAUGCCAUUGUGUAAAAAUGCAUUAUUCACACACCUAGAAAGGUUAUUUGAUGUCUCUACGUUUGUUUAGAGAUAUCUUUAGACGUGUCUUGCUGCCUUUUGAGGCCCUUUUUUGCACUGUUAGCUAGACGCAGCUGAACCAAGAGUGCAAUUUAGAAGAGUGCUUGAUGAUUGGUGUGCAAGUUAGAUUUCACAUCGUUAAGUGAUCUUUACAGUGUCAAAAUUAUGCAACAGAUGCUGCCAUGCAUUUGUGAAGUUCGAUAUACCAAGGAGCUGUAUGUAGCACUUGCUGUAGGAUGUGUGUGCCAUCUACUGCACAUUUCAGUACCUGGCCAGAUUUUAGGACAACACAGGCACAGCAUCUUUGAUGACUGAAUUUUUUAUUGCAAUAGCAGUUACAUGGACACUCCAGGCGCAUUUAUGCCGUCACUGCGAUGUUCCAUAUAUGUCCAAGUGCGAUAACAUUCUGGCCUCGCACUGUAUACUGUGGGUGCAAGGGAAAGCUUGUGAGGGUGAGCUGAGGAUGGUAGCUCGAGCCCGUGUGCGCUAGGGAAGAAGCGUGCCGUCUUCCAUCGCGCGCAAGGCACCGGGUAGGGGCGAGGUUCUCCAGUGGGCGCAUGGUGCGGCUGAGCGUGGCCGCGAAGGCCCUGUCUUGAAAGCGAUUUGCGAUGGGAGCAGAGUCUAGACACGCCGAGGGCUGAUAGCAUCGUGUGCACUGUUUUCGCCACUUACUUUGCGUUGAAGCGAGAGGCAGCACAAAGGUCAAUUUGCUUGCUGCUGCUCUUCCUCAUGCGAGCAUUUUGAUAGCGAGUGUCCACGAUCAUCGUGUGAGAUGUGUUCAUGUUUGCCUGUGCGCGCUUGACGUCAGGCUUGUUAAUUUAGUUAGUAAGCAAAUGUUUACAAGUUUAUAUGGCCGAUAAAUCUACUAUCCUUGCUUCGUAUAGGUAUCUAAUAAUUUGUUUAUUGCAGUCGAUGCUUUGCCUUUCAGGCGAAACUGCGACUUUUUCGCAAGAUAUUAGUUUUGGUACGAGCAAUGUUUGGCAUGCCACAGCUAAACCUGAAACAUGUAACAGCAUGGGCACAACAGUUUGAGGAGGGAUGUACUUGCUUCACAAAUACCCUGCAGACUGGCAGUUCGACCUUCUUUGAAACAGAGUUAGCAAGGCAUGCUAAGCGUUUUCUCCCGUGUGGUAAAUAUGGCAAUUUUGGCUUCCAAGAAACAGAUGCUACAGCUGGUGAAGCUGUUGCUUUGAAGCUAAAUGUCUAUGUUACUAUGAUAGCUGGCAUGCGCUUUUCUCUCUGCUCAGUGGUGUUUGUGGCUGUUAACGUCCAUCACUGUUAUUGUCUGUGCCAUUCAAACACAUGCAAAAACAAGAUUUCAUGCCAUUGGGAAAAAUGCGAAGAAAAUGAGACGUUGCCUCAGGCAUGUUUACUAGUGUGCCAAGUAUGAAGCACCCACUCCCCCCACACACACACACUCACACUCAUCAAUUUAAAGAAAGAAGAACCCUGGCAGGCAAAAAUGUGCCGUGCACAGUUCCCGUUGAAUGUCUUCAUAGUGAUCAGUUACACUACAUGGUGCAUGCUGCCUCCACGCAUCACACUGAGUCGGAGUUGUUGCGAAGUGCCAGGAGUAUUGAAUGCUUUACUGCUUACGAUUAACGCACACGUAAUAAUACUUCAGAACUUGGAAAGAUACCUUCGAUGGGUUUAUUCUAACCAUACAGGGUCUUCUGUAGACUAGUGCAGCCUCAAGCAGAAAUGUUGAGCCUUUUUCUUACAGCAACUCUUUCAAUAGUUAAUUCUCUGAGGGCAGAAUUUUUUCCCAAAAUUCGGGCCCCGGUGGGUAAUUUUAUUUAUUGCAGCUUCCAGUGGUAGGAAAUGAUCGAAAACUCAUGAAUACAGCAAAAAUUUAUUGCAAACAAUAUUUUGUCUCAAAAAUGCUUUACUUUGCACUGGUAGUACACAUACAAAUACACUAUACAGUACAAGAUCAAGAAAAAUGUGUACCAAAAUUCAUGGUUAUCAAUUUGUUGACCCAAAAAAAUGUUUCAUCAGAAGAAGAAACGCUUGAGCAGUCACUGUGAUAAGAGACACCGUAUGUGGCCCUACCGAAAUCACAACUGCGCACCCCAGUGUACAGGAAUAUGCGAGCUGCAGCCAAAAGGAAAACCACAGCAUACGGCAAAGAAAAAGGAAACUUAUCAAUAUCCUCUGAACUUUGGCCACGCUAGGCUAUAUCUAAGCUACCGGAAACACGGUAGCAACGAAUGUAACAAAUGAUAACACGUCUUAGAGGUAUAGAAGACGAUGUGCGCGCGCGACCGCUUGAGCGAGGGCUCCGAGAUAAACAAAUCGAGUUGUAUGCCCCGGUGAUUGGAAAUGCAAUAUCAAAUGUCUUUGGGUGACUCCAUAGAGAUGGUGCCACCUCUCAACAACCAGUGGUGUCGAAUACAUGCAAAAUAUCAAACAAAACCCUCAAAGGGUUAAUUGACUGCUCGAAGGAGUGUUUGGAGAGCACUUUGGAGAUUUUGUUUGCCUGCGCCAGUACUCCUGCUACUUAAAAAUUUUUGCAGCAUGCAUAAUUUAUUCCUACAGAAUUUUAGUUCUGCGCAUCCAGUAGUUUGCAAACGUUUUAGUCCUUUGACAAGCAUUGAGAACCUUGAUUAGCACAAGCUUGGUAUGUUCCUGUGGUAUUCCUGAAACUCACAAAUAUGAAUGUUCUCUUGCAUGUUUUUCUCAAGAGGCACUUGAUUCCUACCAAGUUCUGUCUUGAUGCUUUGUUAAACAAUCCAUGAAGCUCCGGUGUGCAAUUAACCUAAACUUAGUGAUUUUCCGCCACACAUGUAAUUGCCCCACACACACUUCAAACUUUGUACACACGAGACCCUUGACAUGUAUAACAUCCCUUUCAAGUUUCACUGCACCAGCUUUAAUGGUGUGAAGUAUGUUUGGAGCAAACAUUGUUCACUGCGUAACAGGUUUGCUGUAAAAAAAGUCAUUGGCUUGUCUCUAAUGGAAGAAAUUGCUUGCGUAAGCCCUAGCUUUAUCUGUUUAAAUCAGCCAAGCGCUUCUGAUCUUUUGCUAUCAACCAGAGGUAUGUAAAUGCAAAUAAACCAGUGCUCAAAGACAUCUUUAACCCUUUGAGGCUAAAGCUAUCACCGUGAAUGUACAGCAGGCCUCGCAUAAAUAAUGGCCAUUUUCUUUUAACGUAUUAUGGUCUUGAUUAUACAUUGAAAACAAACACUGUUGGCCAUGGAAGACAUUGUAGACAAGAGCCCCUGUUGUGUGCUCUAUGCUCUGUGCUUAAUAUUUCUUGUGCUGUUUACACAAUGAAAGCCAACCAACUUGCCCAAAUCACCGCACAAAUGCUCUGGAUUAGCUCAGGUGAACUACUGUUCUUUAAUAUGUGCGUAAGGAUUUUUAACCACGUAUCUGUUAUGCAUAUUGUCUUUACCGACAUGCAGCUGGGAGUCAAACCCACAUUCCUAUAGCUGGCACCACGUCUUGGUUAGUGUGCAUGGGAGAGCAGUGGUCGCGCAGAAAGGCAGGCUGCAUGCCAGGAGGUUUUUCGUAGCACAGAAUGAUGAAAAAAGUUUCAGGAAGAUGUGGCAAAAGAAUGUGUGGGAAGAUCUUUGAGAUUACAUCUGCCUUGUCUGUAGACACGCUGACAGAGAGUCAUUGGCCAAACUCAACAGCUACCAAUUUGUUGUCACACUGCAGUGAUAAAGAGAUUGUACUGAAUGAAUGUUUAUUAGCUCACAAGUGUCUGGAAAUGAAUAUUUUUCUUGUGAGUCAGUACUAUUCCACCCACCUGAUUUUUUCUUUUUUCUUCUUGUUUUAUUUCUAUUUUUUUUCUUUUUUUUUUCUUGUACUGUCAAAGUUAAUUCUGUGUGACCUUGCAUUGAUCAGUGCAGAUAUGAUCACAACUAUAGUCAGUGACUUGUCAUGAAUACAGCCGUUAUAAGUGAACUGCUUUAUAUUCACUAGCAAAAAUUCAUCUGAUUCUCUUUCUCCUUCCUCCUGUUUGCUAUUCGUAACACUACCUUCACCUUUUCCAGGCACAGUGUCAUGGAACUCUUCACCGCCUUUAGAGGAGGGCAUGAUCUGUGUUCAUAAGCUGCAAGUGGUAGGCACGUCUGUGAAGGAAUUAACUCAGCCACUCUGUUUAUUGCAAUGCAUCUUCUUGGCUAGGAUGCACACUGUUUUGCGCUUACUUUGACACGAGGCCAGGAUUACCCCUUCUUAAUCCCCUGUUCUUUUGUAUUUUUGCGGGCGGCCUAGUGCUCUGAGCGGUAUUUGUUCCCUCACCUACUGACCUUAGCAUCUUGACUGUAAAUGUGUGUGGUGCAUGACUUCAGCAUGUUCAUUGUUGUUGAACCAAUGGGUUGCUGCCUCUCGAUACCUGUUCAAUCUACAAGGAAACUAUUUUUCCACGAUCAUCAUCAUCAUCAGCUUAUAUUUUAAGCACUUAUUUUAAGAUAAUACUAUUAAAAAAAGGUGUUUUCGCUAUCAUAGUCUGAUGAAGUUUGGCUUCGAAAGCCUUCUGGUAAUAGUUUUCAGGUUGCAAAACACCGAUUUCAUUUUAAGAAGCGCAUCUGCAUUCUUUGUUAUAUUGAGUUUAAUAUUAAAGAGCCAUAUGAACACUUGGCACAUUGAUUUCCCAUGCAUGCUUAGGAAUUGCAGUAUCUCAAGAGCAAUCCAGAGCACUCUUUUUUCAGUGUCUUUCAUGGCCCAUCAAGUUGUUUGCUCUAAAAUUAGAAUGAAACAUUCCAGCCUCUACACUAAAAACGGGUCUAAUCCUCUCUUGGGUAGGAUGACAAAAUGUGCUUCUGUGGGCCUCUACGAAGCCGCCACAAAGCAUGAAUUUGUCUUUCUCAUAUUUGAUCAAAAUGCACCGCUGGUGUUGUGGGACAAAUGUCACGUUUUCUACUUAAGCACCAAAUAUAGCCCUGUUAGUAAGUUGUAUGGCAUGCACUUCCAAUGUUUAAAAGAUUGCAAUGUUUUCUAGGGUUUUAGGAUGCUCUAGAAAUAAAGCUGGCCUUUGUUUUACAAACAGUUGGACACAUGCAGUCGAUAAAGUUUUAAGUAUUGUGAAUAGGAGGACCAGGCCAAAAAUGUUUUAAUGUGAGGGCCUGGCAGGAAUCACAUAAAUUAAAAUUCUGCUGUCAUGCACAUGUAAGAUUUGUUUCGGCUGUUGUGCGUAGUGCCUGUUCAUUGUGUCAAACAUACUCAUUGUUGCUAGAGGUAAUAGGACAGUUCAGCAGCAGCAGUUGAAUUGAUCUGCAGUUUUCAGUGGGAGCAGGCAAGAGCUAGGUUAGAAGUGUGAGCUUGGACUUUGCCUGAGAUAGCAAGUUAGUUGUACAUUUGUGAAACAUGCUUUUGAUGUUUGACAUUUAGCUAUAAAUGCUGGAGAAAAGUUUACUUCAUACAACCCUGAUUGUUCACCAUGUGACUUCACCAUCUUAGGGUGGGGUAUGUCUAGCUGCCAUGUCUGGAGAGGAAAGCCUGGAGACGAGUCGUGCAAUAAAUGCAAUGUACGAGGGUUCUAAGCUGAACUAGUUAGUUUACGUUGUGUAUGGUGAACAACACAGAUGACGGGACAAGUGAUAGAGACAGAACAGAUGUGCUGAUUAUCAACUGAUUUUUGUUCAGAGUUGUUUAGUAUAUAAGGCAGCUUGCACAAAAGCAGGAUGAUAUUCAUGAAAUGCUAUCCUAUCAAUUUAUAGAUAGCUUUGUGCUUUUGUGUGAUCUGCCUUAUGCACUGUACAACUCCAAAUAAAAAUAAUUUGGUAGUGGGCACAUCCGUCCUGUUUGUAUUACUUGCACUGUCAUCUGUAUUGUUCACCAUGUUAGAUGUGACAUGGCUGCAGGAUCAGUAAAGACAAAACCCAAGUCCAUUGUAUGAUUUUAACAGUUGAUGAUGAUGAAUGCUAGGUUUGCUUCGUUUUGGCAGACUUGAUGCUAUAGCUUUGUUGAUACUAUUAUUAUUAUUGUUAAGUGAAGAAAAAUGGGAAGGCAGGUUGCUGACAAUGUCAGGAACAGAAAAUGGCAACAAGCUUUUGCUCUACUCACCUCAGUCCUACAGCCAUGUCAUAAGGGUGUAAAUAUUUGAAAUAUUUGAUUCACCUUGAUUUGGUAUUUCACAGAAGCUCGUUGUUUUGCGUGCCAUCUAGACAGCUAUGUAAGCUCACAGUGUAGCUAACUGCAGACACAGAAUUUGAGUUCUUCUCAUUCUUGAGCUGUUUUGAAGUUAGAACUGCUUAAUGAAUGUCUGUAGCUAUGCUAUGCUGUGCAACUUUUAUCAUGGUCAAGUUUUAUUUUCCUAAUAAUAAACAUGAGUAGUUUAUUUUACAAAUCUUUAUAGCAUUACAAAAAGCAUUCAGAGAAUGAGCUACAGUUCUUUUAUCCUAUGUUAUUUUACAGAGACCUCAAGCAAUAUGCAAAAAUCUCUCUCUAGCCUUGCAGGUAUUAGUGAGUAGAACCAAAUAGACACUUCCCUUUUACAAACUAACUGCUUGUUCUCUUGCACUGUAAAAUACGUUUUUGUUUUUUUAGACAAGCUUAUGUUAUAUUUGUCAAGUUAAUGCAGUGCUUGAGUUAUUUAGCAUGAGUGCUGUCAAUGACAUUGAACGUCUCAUACUCUGCAUUGUUUUAUUCAUUGUAAACUGCGUAAAUGUAUCUGGUAUCUCUUUGACCAUGACUGCAGUUCAAAUCAAAUACAGCUAUUACUGCCUCCGGGUACAUAUAGAUGCAAAAUCAGCCUUCCUUGUACAGCUGCAGCAGUUGGUACUUCUGGCUGGAUGCAGAAAUUUGCUCUUUCCUAGUUAAAACUGUGUGUUCUGGCAUAAAUUAAUAUGCAAAUGAAAAAGUAAAAUCAUAGACAACGCUUACACAUGUCUGCUUAAUAUUGCAAUGUAGAAUUAUUAGUAGUCAGUCGCCUGAAUGACUGUCGCACUGCGUUUGAGAAUGUGGAAAUGAAAGACAUGUUUCAGUUUAUUUUGACUCGCUCGUGUUUCAGUUUGUGCUCUCAGAACAUGUGUUAGUGAAACUACUUACAUCAGUCUCUUUGAGAGGUAUGCACUCUUGUGUUUCGUUAAUGUGCAAACAGCCUUUUUUUUAAUUACUGUUCAACAACUGUGUCAUUAAUGAUGUACUUUUGUCAUACCUAGGCAUAUAAUGAUUGCUGAGAACAAGUUAAGCCAAGGUUCACAGUCUACAAGACCUUUCUUUUCCUCUCAAUAUAUUACAAAAAUAUCUCGAUACAUUUAGGACUGUGCAAAAGUGUGUGUUUACUUGAGACAGUUUAUUGCCUCAAGGUGGGGUUAUAUUGUGUGCACUAACACAGCAUUGUGUUUUCAUUAGCACCCCCCUCCUUUUCUUUUUUCCAUGUAUGUCCUUCUUGUUCCUAAUGUCAAAGACUAUAUACUCAGGUUGAUUCUAUUUAUGAUGAAAUUUCUCUCGUAACACUGCAUGUUGACAGUAUGUGCUCGGGCUUUGUUCCGUUGGUAGCGUUAAAGCUCACGCCAAGAUAAGUUCUGCUGUUCUGGGACUGUGUGUACGAGGACUUCCAACCUAGCCAGACUGUUUUUAGCAGGCAUUUCUUUUAAGCUAGCUUGCUGUCGUUUUGUUAGUCUUCUGGUGUUUAUGUGUGUGUCCUGUUCUGGUGCUUCGUGAUUUCAUUUGAGAGAAAAAGCGCAAGCGUACUGAAGAUGUGUAGCUGCUGAUACGCCAUUGCACGUUUAGCGCUUGGCCUGGACUCAUUGUGUCAUUGUUGAGUGCUGUGCAGUUGGAAGCAUGUUAUGUCAUGUGAGCAGUUGGAGCUAAGAGCUUCCUUCUUUUAAGACUAUGCAGACUACUGUAGAAUGGCACUUAUAUUCUGCCAAUAAAGGCUAUACUUUUGGCAUUUCAUAC